UACCUGGGUGGUGGGAUCAUUUGUACACCAAACUUCAGCGACACGCGAUUUACCCAUGCAACAAACUUGCACAUACAUGUGUUGAACCUAAAAUAAAAAUUAAAAAAAAAAAAAGGAUCUGUGGUUUUCAGGGGUUGGACGGGGUUGUGGGAGUGGAGAGGGAUGAAUGGGCAGAGCACAGAGAAUUUUUAGGGCAGUGAAACUCCUCUGUAUGAUAUCAUAAUGGUGGAUACCUGUCAUUACACAUUUGUCCAAACCCAUAGGAUGUACAACCCCAGAGUGAGCCCUACCAAAGACUGUGGACUCUGGAUGAUAAUGAUAUGUCAAUCUGUGCUUUUCCUGCAGGGACUGAACAAGGGCAGUGUGUGCACAUGUGGGAGUGCCAGAAGCACCAGCGCAAUCCAGAUGUGCCCAGGCCCAUCUGUGCGUGAAAAUGCAGACACACCACACUAUUUAUCAAUUAGUGUCUGCUGCUGCCAGUGUCACCAGUUCUCUGCCUGAUGAAUGAUGCUAGGCUGGACAAGCCACACCCCAAGAUAUCCCGCUGCACUCAGAUACAAGACUGAAGAAGCAAGAACGUUAUAAAAAAGAAAGAAUGAAAAGAAAGAAGAAAAGCAACUAAGCCCAGAGAUGGAUCCCAAAACUGAAGAAUUGGUUUAAUUAAAUUGAAAGCUCUGGUGCUUGUGGUAAUUGCUAUGAAGGAAUCCAUAUCCCAUCAGAACCCUCUCCCCUGGAGUUUGCUCCCUCUACUUUCUCUGCAGCAGCCUGCUAGCCAGAGUCAAAGACUGUGUGCAUUUGAAAUCUCCAACCUUUUAAAACAUUACUGUGAAGUUGAAAGUUCCUGGUGUCUUUUGAUUAAACAUCGUGCUAGCAACAAUAAUAUUGACCACGUUUGAGACAGAAGAGCCACAAGAGGGAAUUAGCCUAAAUUCCUAAGCGCCCACCUGGAAAGGAUCCUCCUUGGAAGAUCUGUCAGAUCCAUAGUAAACUUUGAAUGAAAGAGAAAUAAAAUGUUAUGUGUUAAAGUUCCUGAA
rnacentral:lncRNA from 1 species